rnacentral:rRNA from 1 species
CGGACGGGUGAGUAAUGCUUGGGAAUCUGGCUUAUGGAGGGGGAUAACUACGGGAAACUGUAGCUAAUACCGCAUAAUAUCGAAAGAUUAAAGGGUGGGACUUUCGGGCCACCUGCCAUGAGAUGAGCCCAAGUGGGAUUAGGUAGUUGGUUAGGUAAAGGCUGACCAAGCCGACGAUCUCUAGCUGGUCUGAGAGGAUGACCAGCCACACUGGGACUGAGACACGGCCCAG